rnacentral:rRNA from 1 species
AUACGGAGGAUCCGAGCGUUAUCCGGAUUUAUUGGGUUUAAAGGGUGCGCAGGCGGCCAUUUAAGUCAGCGGUUAAAUCGUGGGGCUCAACCCCAUUCUGCCGUUGAUACUGGGUGGCUUGAUUGCGGUCGAGGUUGGCGGAAUUCGUUGUGUAGCGGUGAAAUGCAUAGAUAUGACGAAGAACACCGAUUGCGUAGGCAGCUAACCAGACCGCAAAUGACGCUCAUGCACGAAAGUGCGGGGAUCGAACAGGAUUAGAUGCCCUGGUAGUCCGCACAGUAAACGAUGAAUACUUGUUUUCGGCGAUAUAAUGUCGGAGGCAAAGCGAAAGCGAUAAGUAUUCCGCCUGGGGAGUACGCCGGCAACGGUGAAACUCAAAUGAAUUGGCGGGG